rnacentral:rRNA from 1 species
UUUAAAUGGCCGCAGUAUAUUAACUGUGCAAAGGUAGCAUAAUCAUUAGUCUUUUAAUUGAAGGCUGGUAUGAAUGGUUGGACGAGAUAUUAACUGUUUCAUAAAAAUUUAUAUUAGAAUUUUAUUUUUUAGUUAAAAAGCUAGAAUUUAUUUAAAAGACGAGAAGACCCUAUAAAUCUUUAUAUUUAAAUUAUUGUAAUUUUAUAAAUUAUUUUUGUUACAAUAAUUGAUGAUAUUUUAUUGGGGUGAUAUUAAAAUUUAAUAAACUUUUAAUUAUUUAAAUCAUUAAUUUAUGAAUAAUUGAUCCGUUAUUAACGAUUAAAAAAAUAAGUUACUUUAGGGAUAACAGCGUAAUUUUUUUGGAGAGUUCAUAUCGAUAAAAAAGAUUGCGACCUCGAUGUUGGAUUAAGAUAUAAUUUUAGGUGUAGCUGCUUAAAUUUUAAGUCUGUUCGACUUUUAA